AAUAAGAUGGCUGAAGAUAGGCAAUAAACUGUAAAUUUAUUUAUGAAUUAAAUUCUCUUAUUAG
rnacentral:tRNA from 1 species